rnacentral:rRNA from 1 species
UACGUAGGGGGCAAGCGUUGUCCGGAAUCAUUGGGCGUAAAGAGCGUGUAGGCGGUCCGGUCAGUCGGUUGUGAAAGUCAAGGGCUCAACCCUUGAAUGCCGGCCGAUACUGCCGGGCUAGAGUCCGGAAGAGGUGAGUGGAAUUCCUGGUGUAGCGGUGGAAUGCGCAGAUAUCAGGAGGAACACCAAUAGCGAAGGCAGCUCGCUGGGACGGUACUGACGCUGAGGCGCGAAAGCGUGGGGAGCGAACAGG